GAUGAACGCUAGCUACAGGCUUAACACAUGCAAGUCGAGGGGAAACGCCAUCGAAAGCUUGCUUUUGAUGGGCGUCGACCGGCGCACGGGUGAGUAACGCGUAUCCAACCUGCCCACCACUUGGGGAUAACCUUGCGAAAGUAAGACUAAUACCCAAUGAUAUCUCUAGAAGACAUCUGAAAGAGAUUAAAGAUUUAUCGGUGAUGGAUGGGGAUGCGUCUGAUUAGCUUGUUGGCGGGGUAACGGCCCACCAAGGCAACGAUCAGUAGGGGUUCUGAGAGGAAGGUCCCCCACAUUGGAACUGAGACACGGUCCAAACUCCUACGGGAGGCAGCAGUGAGGAAUAUUGGUCAAUGGACGAGAGUCUGAACCAGCCAAGUAGCGUGCAGGAAGACGGCCCUAUGGGUUGUAAACUGCUUUUAUAAGGGAAUAAAGUGAGUCUCGGGAGACUUUUUGCAUGUACCUUAUGAAUAAGGACCGGCUAAUUCCGUG
rnacentral:rRNA from 1 species